GCCGCCUUAGCUCAGUUGGUAGAGCGCCCGCCUUGUAAGCGGACGGUCACGGGUUCGAGUCCCGUAGGCGGCUCCA
rnacentral:tRNA from 1 species